rnacentral:misc_RNA from 1 species
UGGUAGGUUAUAGUUUAUGGGGUUUUAAAGAGUUAGAUACGAUUGAGUUAUUGAAUUGAAUUGAAUAUAUAAUUGUUUUUUUAGGUGUUUUGGUUAUUUGAGUUUUUAUUUUGUGUUAAAUUAAGUGAUGAUAGUGUAUUGAAGAGUUGGGUUAUUUUUAAAUAAAUUAAAGUUUUGAAAUAUUUAUGUUUUGAAAGGAUUUUUUUUUUAUAUAGAAAUAAAAGAGAUUUUUGAUUAUUUAAUAAGAGUGUUUGGUAUUAUUUUGAUAUGUGAAAUGUAAGAAAGUAAUUUUUUUUGUUUUGUUUGGUUUUG